ensembl:lncRNA
GUUUAUUAUUAGUAGUAGUAGUAGUAGUACUAAAAAAGUAUUGUAGUUAACAUUAAUAUUACAUUUCUUCUCCCAGGUGCAGCGGGAGGUGAUGGCUCUGGUGCCAAACCUGAUCUCCAACUUGGAGGACUUGGAUGGAGAUGGCAGCUACAGCUCAGUCACAAACAGCUCGCCUGGUCCUGUGACUGGAGGCACCAAUGGAAAUGAGACAGAAGAUUUGGACCAAAAUGAUGAACUUGAGAGUAAAGAGCUCAUAGCCAUCGAUGUUGGCUUGGCCUCGCCUAUCGAACACCCACAGAACUCUGGGACAUCUCCUGGCCCUGCCCCCUCCUCCCCAUCGCAUCAGUUCCACACCCAUUCCGCUUCCAGGGCUGCCUCCCUUUGCUCCUCCCUCUUCUACCCGACCCAGUCCAGAGCUGGCUCAGGUUUAGGGUCUGGGUCAAGGGGCUUGACCUUUGACCCCCCACGCAGAGUGUCAGCAGCAGCGCCUCAUAUCUCGCCGCCAGCAGAGAACUCGUUUGCGUUUGCAGACGCUCGUGUUCUUGACUCGGCAGGCUGGGAGGCGCGCAGACAGGAGGUGCUGGAGCAGGAGCACCAGCAGACCAUGAGCCUUCUUCUACUGCAGCAGUGUGUGUGGGAGGAGAAGAGGAGAGCAGCCAGACAGAAGGAGAAAGCAGCGCGGGCCAAGAAACGCUACUACCAGGCCAAACUGCGCAAGCUGGGGGGUGAAGUGCAGCUCUCCAGCAGCGACAGCGAUGAGGAGCAUCUCCAGACAUGA